AUUGAACGCUGGCGGCAGGCCUAACACAUGCAAGUCGAGCGGAUGAAGCGAGCUUGCUCCUGGAUUCAGCGGCGGACGGGUGAGUAAUGCCUAGGAAUCUGCCUGGUAGUGGGGGAUAACGUCCGGAAACGGGCGCUAAUACCGCAUACGUCCUGAGGGAGAAAGUGGGGGAUCUUCGGACCUCACGCUAUCAGAUGAGCCUAGGUCGGAUUAGCUAGUUGGUGGGGUAAAGGCCUACCAAGGCGACGAUCCGUAACUGGUCUGAGAGGAUGAUCAGUCACACUGGAACUGAGACACGGUCCAGACUCCUACGGGAGGAAGCAGUGGGGAAUAUUGGACGAUGGGCGAAAGCCUGAUCCAGCCAUGCCGCGUGUGUGAAGAAGGUCUUCGGAUUGUAAAGCACUUUAAGUUGGGAGGAAGGGCAGUAAGUUAAUACCUUGCUGUUUUGACGUUACCAACAGAAUAAGCACCGGCUAACUUCGUG
rnacentral:rRNA from 1 species